rnacentral:rRNA from 1 species
AGAACUCCGAUUGCGAAGGCAGCUCACUGGACUGCAACUGACACUGAUGCUCGAAAGUGUGGGUAUCAAACAGGAUUAGAUACCCUGGUAGUCCACACAGUAAACGAUGAAUACUCGCUGUUUGCGAUAUACAGUAAGCGGCCAAGCGAAAGCAUUAAGUAUUCCACCUGGGGAGUACGCCGGCAACGGUGAAACUCAAAGGAAUUGACGGGGGCCCGCACAAGCGGAGGAACAUGUGGUUUAAUUCGAUGAUACGCGAGGAACCUUACCCGGGCUUAAAUUGCAGUGGAAUGAUGUGGAAACAUGUCAGUGAGCAAUCACCGCUGUGAAGGUGCUGCAUGGUUGUCGUCAGCUCGUGCCGUGAGGUGUCGGCUUAAGUGCCAUAACGAGCGCAACCCUUAUCUUUAGUUACUAACAGGUUAUGCUGAGGACUCUAGAGAGACUGCCGUCGUAAGAUGUGAGGAAGGUGGGGAUGACGUCAAAUCAGCACGGCCCUUACGUCCGGGGCUACACACGUGUUACAAUGGGGGGUACAGAAGGCAGCUAGCGGGUGACCGUAUGCUAAUCCCAAAAGCCUCUCUCAGUUCGGAUCGAAGUCUGCAACCCGACUUCGUGAAGCUGGAUUCGCUAGUAAUCGCGCAUCAGCCACGGCGCGGUGAAUACGUUCCCGGGCCUUGUACACACCGCCCGUCAAGCCAUGGGAGCCGGGGGUACCUGAAGUACGUAACCGCAA